UGUCGGCCCACCAAAGAAUACACGGAUAAGCUUUAUCCAAUGCCCUCUCCUUAUUACCAAUGGUGACCCCUUCCGGGUCCUUAUAACACUAGGAACGUAGUCUUCAUCGAGCUAUAGAACUGCAGUUGGUCAUCAGAUGGGUGGGGUCGAUGGUGGUUCCUCUGUCUCAGCAAUGGCUCUUAGUUAUUUUGGCUUCCGCAACAACAAGCAGCAAGAGGGAGGAGUACAGCAAGAAACAGAGAGCAUGAGGAAGAGGAGAGAGGAAAGGCGAGGAAGAGUUCGGAGGCCAGUGGAAGGGCAGCCCGAUUUGCAGUGGAGUUGGAUGGCCUGCACUGCUUCGAGACGUUGAUAGCUCACUAAUGGACACUUGCGGUUUUAGAUUUCAUAUAUAGUUAACAUAAUCAAUCCUAAACUAUUACUUCUUCUUCCUUUUGUUCUGCUCGAAGGUUGUCAUUCAUCAGAGGUAUCAUCGAGUAUUCAAGCCCUAUGUUACUUUCUUGUUGCAUUGACACUGGUAACAAAUGUCCUUGAUUCAUCAUCAAUUUGUCAGUGGUAAGUUAAAACAA